UACGUAGGGUGCAAGCGUUAAUCGGAAUUACUAGGCGUAAAGCGUGCGCAGGCGGUGAUGUAAGACAGGUGUGAAAUCCCCGGGCUUAACCUGGGAACUGCAUUUGUGACUGCAUCGCUGGAGUGCGGCAGAGGGGGAUGGAAUUCCGCGUGUAGCAGUGAAAUGCGUAGAUAUCUGGAGGAACACCGGUGGCGAAGGCGACGUCCUGGACCGGUAUUGACGCUGAGGCGCGAAAGCCAAGGGAGCAAACGGG
rnacentral:rRNA from 1 species